UAUGAUUAAGCUUAAAGAAUGUAGAUCGGCCAAAAAGCAACAAAAAAAAAAUGCAAAAACUAAAUAACGAGAUAAAUAGCUGAAUGUAUAAUGCAUCAGGAAAAUUCACAACAGAUUACAAUCUCACAAAGUAAUAAAACUGGGAAAUGAGAAAACGGCAAUAAAGAUGAGUGUAACAUACUGGUAUUACAAUGAGCUCACAACUCGCCCAUGGCCAGUGGAGAAUCUACACAGGUGUUGCACUGUUGACAAAGAGUCAGCCAUGCUAACUAAACAAGCCGCCAAAGGUGACAGGUGAAGGUGAAACAAAACAAACUUCAGUAGAUAUAAAAUAACAAAACGCUCGAGAGUACGUCUGAUACAUGCGUGUGUUACAUGCGCAGUUACAUUGCAUGUUUAUCGUUGCGUCUAGCGUCUAAAGGUUUUGCUAUCAAUCUGAGAAUCUAUCUUUACAACAUGUUUUACAAUUAGAUUUACUGAAACACCAACAACCCAAGAUGCUCGCCCCUUUCAUCGCUCUUAUCAUUCUACAAGUUCUUGCCCCCUUGGCACACUCAAGGCCUGACUUUUGUGAACUAGCUCCAGAAGUCGGGCCGUGCAAAGCAUUGAUUCCAAGCUUCUAUUUUAACAAAAGCGACAACUCCUGCAAAGAGUUUUUCUAUGGUGGAUGCAGAGGAAACUCCAAUAGAUUCUCGGAUCAAAGUCUCUGCGAAGAUACAUGUUUAUAAAUGUCAACCAUUUCCAUUCAAUUUGGGAAACAUUUUAACAUUUUAGAAAAUAAUCAAAUAAAACAUAACGAGACAUGA